CAGCAGCCGCGGUAAAACGGAGGGCGCGAGCGUUACCCGGAUUUACUGGGCGUAAAGGGCGUGUAGGCGGCCUGGGGCGUCCCAUGUGAAAGGCCACGGCUCAACCGUGGAGGAGCGUGGGAUACGCUCAGGCUAGAGGGUGGGAGAGGGUGGUGGAAUUCCCGGAGUAGCGGUGAAAUGCGCAGAUACCGGGAGGAGCGCCGAUGGCGAAGGCAGCCACCUGGUCCACUUCUGACGCUGAGGCGCGAAAGCGUGGGGAGCAAACCGGAUUAGAUACCCCCGUAGUCCCUGUCUCUUAUAC
rnacentral:rRNA from 1 species